GUCGAACGCUGGCGGCGUGCCUAAUACAUGCAAGUCGAGCGAAGCGGCGGUUGGGUGAGUAACGCGUGGGUAACCUGUCCUUAAGUAUGGCAUACCAUUUGGCAACAGAUGCUAAUACCGGAUACUAAAGGAUGGACCUGCGAUGCAUUAGCUAGUUGGUAAGGUAACGGCUUACCAAGGCGAUGAUGCAUAGCCGAGUUGAGAGACUGAUCGGCCACAGUGGGACUGAGACACGGCCCAGACUCCUACGGGAGGCAGCAGUAGGGAAUAUUGCACAAUGGACGAAAGUCUGAUGGAGCAACGCCGCGUGAGUGAAGAAGGUUUUCGGAUCGUAAAGCACUGUUGUUGGUGAAGCGGUAAUCAACCAGAAAGUCACGGCUAACUACGUGCCAGCAGCCGCGGUAAUAC
rnacentral:rRNA from 1 species